ensembl:lncRNA
CCCCGGCCCGACCCGAGGCCGUCCCCUCUCAUCCUACCUCCCAUACCCAGAGCAGAGGCCGCCCCCCACCUCACCACCACCUCCUCUCAGCUGUAGGGUCUCUCCUGGGCGCUGUGCUGUGCUGCAGACGGACCCAUCCCGUUCCCCCAUUGCUCCCCAUGAGGCCUGGGGGGGCGCUGGGCUGUGGGUGAAUGGCGUUGUCUCUGGCAGCACAUACAGCAAGGUAACGUGGAGAAAGGGAGGCUCAGAACUGUGGAAAAUUGUCAUAUUUGAAGUUCAGAACUAAAGUCAAUCUGGUUUUCCUGCAGGUGUUAGCAAAUAUUACAGAGCAGUUUAUUUGUAUGCAGUUUUGCUUGUUUUUCUCACCAUUUUUAUCCACUGUAAUAUUUCACAUCAUAGAAUCAUAGAACUCAAUCACUGAGGCUGGAAAGGACCUCUGAGAUCAGCAAACAACUGAUGGCCAAAGCGCACACGAGAGUUUCUGCAAACCUCCACUUGCAAGGAGUGCUGUCCUCGUUACUCACUUGUUCUAAUUGUGAGGUGUUGGAAAUAUUUGUGUUGCUGUAUUUGACUCGUGUCAGGCAGAUGAGGAAGAUCAAUGGGUGCCUGGGCAGUCUGACCUGGUGGCUGGCAGCCCUGCCCACAGCGGGGGGUUGGAACUCAAUGACCAACCCAACCAUUCUAUGACUAUCAUUAUUUGAAUGUGAGCUUUUAAUUGCUAUCAUUUCAGAUCAAAUGCCAAAUCUUUGGUGUUUGUGAGGAACAAAUGCCCAACAGCCAUCCCAUGGUAUGUCAGUGCUUUGUCUGACUGUAGUGUGAAGGUGUUGCUCAGGACCAGGGACACGUGGAGCUAUCGGUAAGGCUGUGAUUUCUUCUCCUCUGAAUUUGUACAGAGGGAUGAAGGGUGACCUCAUUGCAGCCUUCCAGGACCUACAGGGAGCCUCCAAACAGGAGGGGAGGCAACUGGGGAGUUGCUCUUUACAAAGUGGUCUGCAGGGCACUGCUGCCUUCAUGUCACUUGAACACAAAGCUGAUGGAAAGGGGAAUGCCUAAAGAUCAAAAGCCAAAUCUUUGGUGUUUGUGAGGAAAAAAAAUGCCCAGCAGCCGUCCUGCAGCACAUCAGUGCUUUGUCUGACUGCAGUGUGAAGGUGUUGCUCGGGACCAGGGACACUUGGACUGGUUGAGGAGCAGCACCUUGAAGGAACAUCCAGACACAGCCUUCCUGCUUCCUGACCUCAGCACAGGGAUGCUGAUCUCUGCAAUGCCCUGUCCUUGUCCCCAGGCUCCUCCAGCCCCUUCUUCCAGCCCAGCCCUUCUCACUUGCAGCUCAGCAGUGGUGAGGAUUAAAAAUCAAAAGCAUCCUGCAACAACUACUCCUCUACCUAGGAAAGCACCAAGUCACUCCUGGUUCUACCGCUGUGAUGAGCAAAGGAAACCUUGAGGGAUAGGUUGGGACUUGUUACACUUACCACUGCUCCCUUCCUCUUUUAGCUAGUAGGCAAUUAUCAGAUCCGAUCAACAGAAACAGACCUUUCCCAGAGCACAGCUCUUGUGCAGUGUUCUGCAGGUUUGGCCAACUGCACGCCUUCGGUGCUUCAGAUCCAUCUCACGGUGUUCAGUGUGGCACUCGUGAAUCUUCACUGGGCCCUUCACUGUCCAGGAGGGGACAAUGGGCUGAGCUCUUCCAUCGAGCCUGCAGUCCCCAUUACACCGCUUUCACUCCCAGCAGCUAUUCAGUUCCUGAGUUCUAUAGUUCCUGCAUUUACUGCCUCCCAUGCAUGGGCUGUUCUCCCUCUCUGAUGCAUAGAAAUGUUGAGCUAAACUAUGAGUUGGCAGCUUGGAAGCUUUUCUUUCAGGUACAAUCUCUGCUUCCUAAGCAGGUUUUUGAGGAUGUGUCUAUUGCAGCUUUCAGCACAUCAGUGACAAUCACAGCCAACCUCAUGGUCACUGAGAACUUCAGUUUGCUGCUUGGCCUCUUUGCCUGGAAACAACAGGAUCUUUGUUUGAGAAUGGAGCAAACAAGAUGUGACACUGUGGAGGCUUUUCAGCUUAAAGGGACCACUUCCAUCCCGGAACGCCGGUCUCAUCCCAGCUCUGCAGGCAGCCACAGCACGUGGGCCUUUUUGGAAAUGCACCUGAAGACCGUUCUGGGAUCCUUCCAUCCCACGCUUCCUGGCAGGCUGCUCCAGAGCCUUCCUCCUGAGGUUGUGAGUGCUGACUUCUAAACGCUGGGAUGUUCCCACUCGUCUCCACAGCAGUACCCCUCACACUCAGAAAGGUGGUGCUCUUGCAUAUUUUUACUCUUUUUUCUUCCUUCCUUUGUAAGGCUAAAUCAGUAAAGCUCCUCAAGCCUAAUGAAACAGCAGGUUUUUACUCUUUGCAGUACUCUUAAGAAGUGAUAAAUAUUGCCUGGAUUUAAACGUUACUGCCAGUCACGUUUGUUGUUGCAGUGAUCUCAAGCUCGUGUUGUCUCUGACAGCUGAAGGACAGCAGAGCUCCAGGAACUGAAGCCUUUCAGUCAAGUGAACUCUAAAGUAAGAAAACAAUCGUAUUGGUUUGUCUCAAUCAUCUGUGGCCAUUCUGAGAACGUGCAAAUGGCUCAUUAGCAGUUGUAGUGCUUACAGCAGUUAUUAAAUUCUGCUGGGCCAGUAGGCAAAGUCAAACUGUGUUGCAGUUGCAGAUGAAGUUGGUGCAAAGCAGCAGGGAUGAGGGCUGCAGUGGUGUGUCAGCUGUGGGUCACCACUGCGAGCUGCCUGCACAACAAAGCCUGUAAUUUAAUGCCCUUGGCAGUUAUUUGUGCAUCAGUAUCUCAUGAUGCAGGCUGACAAAAACAUUUCCAAUUCAGAACAUAAGAAAAAGUAUAAAAAUGGGAGUGAUACCACAUGUCUGUGCUGGUUCCCAGUCACUCUGAAUGGGUUAGAUGGUGCUUAUCUCAAUUUCAGAACAGUAAGCUUGGCCUGCAGGGUGGAUUUCAUGCUCUAAGUAUGCAGACAAAACUCUUCCUGGUUGGAGGAUAAUUCUGAUGAGUUCUCGAGUCACCAAUCCAAGAAUGGAGGUGUGGAAGGAGCCCAAGGGGAGCAGCUGCUUCCAUCAGUGAGGGAGCAGGUACUGAUCUCAUGAGCAGACACAGAAUCACACAGAAUCAUAGAGUCAUAGAGUGGCUUGGGUUGGAAGGGACCUCAAGGACCAUGGAGCUCCAACCCCCCACCACAGGCAGGGCCACCAACCUCCCCAUUUCAUAGCAGCCCAGGCUGCCCAGGGCCCCAUCCAACCUGGCCUUCAACACCUCCACG